rnacentral:rRNA from 1 species
AGUCGAGCGGAUGAAGGGAGCUUGCUCCUGGAUUCAGCGGCGGACGGGUGAGUAAUGCCUAGGAAUCUGCCUGGUAGUGGGGGAUAACGUCCGGAAACGGGCGCUAAUACCGCAUACGUCCUGAGGGAGAAAGUGGGGGAUCUUCGGACCUCACGCUAUCAGAUGAGCCUAGGUCGGAUUAGCUAGUUGGUGGGGUAAAGGCCUACCAAGGCGACGAUCCGUAACUGGUCUGAGAGGAUGAUCAUUCACACUGGAACUGAGACACGGUCCAGACUCCUACGGGAGGCAGCAGUGGGGAAUAUUGGACAAUGGGCGAAAGCCUGAUCCAGCCAUGCCGCGUGUGUGAAGAAGGUCUUCGGAUUGUAAAGCACUUUAAGUUGGGAGGAAGGGCAGUAAGUUAAUACCUUGCUGUUUUGACGUUACCAACAGAAUAAGCACCGGCUAACUUCGUGCCAGCAGCCGCGGUAAUACGAAGGGUGCAAGCGUUAAUCGGAAUUACUGGGCGUAAAGCGCGCGUAGGUGGUUCAGCAAGUUGGAUGUGAAAUCCCCGGGCUCAACCUGGGAACUGCAUCCAAAACUACUGAGCUAGAGUACGGUAGAGGGUGGUGGAAUUUCCUGUGUAGCGGUGAAAUGCGUAGAUAUAGGAAGGAACACCAGUGGCGAAGGCGACCACCUGGACUGAUACUGACACUGACGUGCGAAAGCGUGGGGGAGCAAACAGGAUUAGAUACCCCUGGUAGUCCACGCCGUAAACGAUGUCGACUAGCCGUUGGGAUCCUUGAGAUCUUAUUGGCGCACCUAACGCGAUAAGUCGACCGCCUGGGGAGUACGGCCGCAAGGUUAAA